rnacentral:rRNA from 1 species
UACGAAGGGUGCAAGCGUUACUCGGAAUUACUGGGCGUAAAGCGUGCGUAGGUGGUUCGUUAAGUCUGAUGUGAAAGCCCUGGGCUCAACCUGGGAAUGGCAUUGGAUACUGGCGAUCUAGAGUGCGGUAGAGGGCAGUGGAAUUCCCGGUGUAGCAGUGAAAUGCGUAGAGAUCGGGAGGAACAUCUGUGGCGAAGGCGACUGCCUGGACCAGCACUGACACUGAGGUGCGAAAGCGAUGGGGAGCAAACAGGG